rnacentral:rRNA from 1 species
AACGAACGCUGGCGGCAGGCUUAACACAUGCAAGUCGAGCGCCCCGCAAGGGGAGCGGCAGACGGGUGAGUAACGCGUGGGAAUCUACCCAUCUCUACGGAAUAACGCAUGGAAACGUGUGCUAAUACCGUAUACGUCCUUCGGGAGAAAGAUUUAUCGGAGAUGGAUGAGCCCGCGUUGGAUUAGCUAGUUGGUGGGGUAAAGGCCUACCAAGGCGACGAUCCAUAGCUGGUCUGAGAGGAUGAUCAGCCACACUGGGACUGAGACACGGCCCAGACUCCUACGGGAGGCAGCAGUGGGGAAUAUUGUACAAUGGGCGCAAGCCUGAUCCAGCCAUGCCGCGUGAGUGAUGAAGGCCCUAGGGUUGUAAAGCUCUUUCACCGGUGAAGAUAAUGACGGUAACCGGAGAAGAAGCCCCGGCUAACUUCGUGCAAGCCGCCGCCGUAAUAC